UUUCAAAAAAUUCAAUUUCCA
rnacentral:piRNA from 1 species